UUCUCAUCCUCAUCUGUUUGUCACGUUUAAACCAAGUUGCUGAUUUUCUCCCACUAUAUCGUGCUGGUUCGUGUCCACGAGAGUCUGUUAGCAGUUUGUGAUCUUAGCUGCCACCUUCCUCUUCUUCUUGAUCUUCAUCCGUCAGUCACAAUGGAUAGAUUUGAACCCCUAGAUUUUUCUAUUUCGAUGCUAUUCUGUGGCUGAAUCAGACUUGCUGCCAUUAAGACUUGUUGAGCACAGAGAAGAAGGCAGUCACAGAUAGUGAUCCAUUGGGGGAGAUGAGUUCGAUGGACGAUGACUUGUCUAGCUUGCUGAACAAUUUCCCUCAGAAAUACCAGUGUCUGUGUUGUAUCGAAGACGAGGAAGACAAGCAUUGGAGUUCGAAAAUCAACAAGAUGCUUCAUUAGGCCAAAUUGGUCAGCAACUCAAUUGGACCCUCAAAACCAGCUAGAACGACUUGCCUAAUACAUGCUAAAUAUAGAUAUAUAUUACUUCCCGGAAAUCGAAACUAAAAUUUGAUUUAAAUAGUUCAAUAUUGCAACAAAAAUUGUCAAAAAUAAAUAAAUUCAAACUACUAAAAUUUGAUAUAAAUAGUUGAAAAUCGUAAAAAAUAACUAAAUUCAAACUAUUAAAAUUUGAUUUAAAUAGUUCAAUAUUGCAACAAACAAUGAGAAAAAAAUAUUUCUGCAAAAUAUUUUUUUAUGAAUUAUUCAAAAUUUGAUAUAACAAUUGAGAUGAGGAUUGGAGAGGAAGCAUAAGGAAAAAAGAAAUGAAGGAAAGCUAAGUGAAAUGCAAUCUCUCUUUUCUUUUUCCAAAAUUAUUAGAUUAUUUGCCAAAAAAUUAUUAGAUUAGAUUGAAAGAAAAUUAGCAGUCUAGAGACUUCUCUUCAUUACAAAUACAUUUUGUUGCGGUUCUAUUUGGAUCGCUUUACCUAAAGUUCAUCCCCUAUUAUUUUUCCAAAGAAUGAGUUUGUGAGAUAAAACAAGUAAAAUAAAAUUAUAUAAAAUAAACAUCUUAAAGAACUUUCAAACGAAAUAAACUUACUAGAUUGAUGUGAUGGGAAAAUUUGAUAAAUUAUUGUGUUAAUAUGAUGACGUAGAAGGAUCUCUAAUCUCUCACUAAUUUUAAGAAAAAUGAGAAAUCUAGGCAGAGAAUUGGAAGGGGCCAUAAGCUUGAAAUGUGAAAUCAUAUAGUAUAUGAAAUGUCAAUGAUAAUCAGAGGUUAUUUAUACCUGUACCAAGGAAAAAAUACAAUGUAUUUCAUUGCAAAUAUCUCAUUUUGGAAGUAGAAAUAAAUGCUUCCAUCAUUACAUUACACAGUUGUCUGAUAAGUUGCAUUUUAUUGCCAGCUAUUUCUUUUCUGUUUUUUUCAUUCUUAUUUAAGUUCAAAACCUAAAUUUGAUGGAAAAUAGGAUUAGGGUUACUUAUACUUGUACCAAGGAAAAAUACAAUGUAUUUCCUGUGCAAUUUUCUCAUUUUUGGAAGUACAAAUCAAUGCUUCCAUCAUUACAUUACCAAAUGCAAAAUAU